rfam:Triticum aestivum genome assembly, contig: Triticum_aestivum_CS42_TGACv1_scaffold_377162_5AL
CAAGUACUCCCUCUGUCCGGAAUUACUUGUCAUCAAAAUGGAUGUGUCUAGAACUAAAAUAUAUCUAGAUACAUCCAUUUCAAUGACGAAUAAUUUUGGACGGAGGGAGUACAAG